GGGGGUGUGGCUCAGUUGGGAGAGCGCCGCGUUCGCAUCGCGGAGGUCAGGGGUUCGAAUCCCCUCAUCUCCACCA
rnacentral:tRNA from 1 species